UACGUAGGAGGCGAGCGUUUGUCCGGAAUUACUGGGCGUAAAGCGCGUGUAGGCGGUCUGAAUAGUCUGCUGAUGAAAGCGCCUGGCUUAACCGGGCGAGGUCGGCGGAAACUCUCAGACUGGAGGCCGGUAGAGGGGGUGGAAUUCCCGGUGUAGUGGUGAAAUGCGUAGAGAUCGGGAGGAACACCUGUGGCGAAGGCGGCCCCCUGGGCCGCGCCUGACGCUGAGACGCGAAGGCUAGGGGAGCGAACGGG
rnacentral:rRNA from 1 species